AUGAGGUUGCCCAGCUAUGAGGCAUACAGGGAGAAGAGGAAGGCACCCAGGACAGAACCCAUGGGACUCCACAGAGAGAAGCAGCAGCAACCAAAAGAGACUGAGGGAGAGAUCAGAGCCCCAAAAGUCAGGUUAGGAGGAACUGAGGUUUUUGUAGAGGGAACAGGUAGCAAGGAAGCACUGUGGUACACUUUCGGCAAAGGGACCCGGGUCGAGAUCAAACGUAGAGAAAAUGCCAAGCCUUCGGUGUUCAUCUUUCAUCCAUCAGCCGACCAGCUGUCUGGGGGAUCUGCCACUGUGGUGUGCCUGGUGAGUGGCUUCUACCCGAGUGCCUUGAACGUGGUCUGGAAAAGGGAUGAUGUCACCACCACGACUGGUGUUGUCACCAGCCAGAAGCAGCAAGACACUUCUGACAGCACGUACAGCCUGAGCAGCACCCUGACGCUCACGAAAGAGGAGUACAACAAGCACAACCUCUAUAGCUGCGAGGUGACGCAUGAAACGGUGAAGGGCUCUCUUGUCAAGAGUUUCAAGAGAUUGGAGUGUUCACAAUAGGAGGCUCCCAGGGAAAGAUCCCUGCCUCCUCUUUGCAGCCUUUCUUAUGCUUUGUUUAUGUAACUAUCAGUCUUAUUCAUUUUUUCCCCCUCCCAAACUAUUAUGACAGAGAUCUUCCAGGUCUCACCUCCUGCCUUACCCCUUGCUAACAGUCCUGGAUAACCAGGCCUUGCCUGAUUUUACCCUGCUGCCUAAUGAGGCUUCCUGCUUUUAUCAAGUUUCAACUUCAAAAAUGAAUAAAUAAAUGAAAUCAAUGAAACAGCA